rnacentral:tmRNA from 1 species
GGGGGCGCUUUUGGUCUCGACGGGUGAUUCGAGGCUGUGAGUGCGUGUCAAGGCGCUGGGAGCCUUGUAAAUCAAACCUGGAAACUUGAAGUUAAACGCGAACGACGCUAACUUCGCCUUGGCGGCCUAGAACCCGCCGAGUUCCGUCCCGUCAGGUCCGCAAGACGGGUAGCGGAAUCAUCCUCGCGGACUCGCCAAAGCGGUUGCGGCAACCGCAGCGGUUAAACCAUAGCCGAUCGCCGGAUGACGCCUGUCGGAUGGGCUAUCAGCCGGUCAAAAAAGACCAUUCGACUACACACGUAGACCUUGCAGUUUAGGACAUGCGGAAGGGGGUUCGAAUCCCCCCGCCUCCACCA